rnacentral:antisense_RNA from 1 species
AGCGCGCGGCUGCGGCGCGGGAAGCAACCCAGAGCCCUCCUCCCACCUGCUCUGUGUAGGAGACAGCCUGCGGAGCCCACUGCCGGCGCGCCGAGAGCCCAGCAGCUCUUGAGUCCGGGAAGCAAGGGUGGGCGGAGGGACGAGCCAGUGGCAAUGACCCAGACUCCGACCCCCAUUGCUGACCCAGCGGAGCUGCUUGGAGGCAGAGGUUGCAGUGAGCUGAGAUUUUGCCACUACACUCCAACCUGGGCAACAGAGCGAGACUCCAUUCCAAAAAAAUAAGAAAAAGAAAAACAGAAAAAUAAUAAUUACAUCUGCAAAGACCUUAUUUCCAGGCUGAAGCAGAGUCUUCCUCCUGGUGUUCCAGCAGGAGUUUAAGGUCCUGCUCCAUAUAGGACAGCCAGAUUCUGAGGGCAAUGUUGAGAUCCUCAUCUCCAGAAGGUGCUGGUGCCAGAAACAUGACAAAAGGCUGAUUCACGGGCCAGGCGCAGUGGCUCACGCCUGUAUUCCCAGCACUUUGGGAGGCCAAGGCGGGUGGAUCAUGAGGUCAAGAGUUCGAGACCAUCCUGGCCAAUAUGGUGAAACCCUGUCUCUACUAAAAAUACAAAAAAUUAGCUGGGCGUGGUGGCGCGCACCUGUAGUCCCGGCUACUUGGCAGGCUGAGGCAGGAGAAUUGCUCGAACCGGGAGGAGGAGGUUGCAGUGAGCAGAGAUCAUGCCACUGCUCUCCAGCCUGGGCGGCAGACUGAGUGAGAUUCCAUCUGAAAAAAAAAAGAGGCCUGGUGUGGUGGCUCAGGCCUGUAAUCCUAGCACUUUUGGGAGGCUGAGGCAGGUGGAUCACCUGAGGUCAAGAGGUCAGGACCAGCCUGUCCAACAUGGUGAAACCCCGUCUCUACUAAAAAUGCAAAAAUUAGCCGGAUGUGGUGGCACAUGCCUGUAAUCCCAGCUACUUCGGAGGCUGAGGCAGGAGAAUCAUUUGAACCCAGGGUGUGGAAGUUGCAGUGAACCAAGACCGUGCCACUUCACUGGGCGAAAAAGCAAAACUUCAUCUCCAAAAAAAGAAAAGUAUUAAAAAAAAAAAAAA